GCUUACGGCCACACCUCCCUGAGCACGCCCGAUCUCGUCUGAUCUCGGAAGAUAAGCAGGGUCGGGCCCGGUUAGUACUGGAUGGGAGACCGCCGGGAAUACCAGGUGCUGUAAGCC
rnacentral:rRNA from 1 species